GACGAACGCUGGCGGCGUGCUUAACACAUGCAAGUCGAACGGAAAGGCCCUGCUUUUGUGGGGUGCUCGAGUGGCGAACGGGUGAGUAACACGUGAGUAACCUGCCCUUGACUUUGGGAUAACUUCAGGAAACUGGGGCUAAUACCGGAUAGGAGCUCCUGCUGCAUGGUGGGGGUUGGAAAGUUUCGGCGGUUGGGGAUGGACUCGCGGCUUAUCAGCUUGUUGGUGGGGUAGUGGCUUACCAAGGCUUUGACGGGUAGCCGGCCUGAGAGGGUGACCGGCCACAGUGGGACUGAGAUACGGACCAGACUCCUACGGGAGGCAGCAGUGGGGAGUGUUGCACAAUGGGCGGAAGCCUGAUGCAGCAACGUCGCGUGCGGGAUGACGGCCUUCGGGGUGUAAACCGCUUUCGCCUGUGACGAAGCGUGAGUGACGGUAAUGGGUAAAGAAGCACCGGCUAACUCCGUG
rnacentral:rRNA from 1 species